rnacentral:lncRNA from 1 species
GAAGGAGUAGCUUCUCACUCCAACUUAAAAGGGUAAGACUAAACAGUCUUUAUGCAAUAUGAUGCCAAUAUAUAAAACUCAAUUUACAGUAAUCAUACAAACAAAUGCAAAGAGAAGAUCGUAAUUUUUCAAAUCAAAUAUUUAAUUUUUGAUAAUAAGACAAAAAACAAUCAAUCUUGCGGCUUGACUCUCUAACAGUCCCCAGUGGAGUCGCCAAGCUGUCGAAACCACUUUUUAUAUUUAGAAAAAAAGGAUCGACUUUGAAAAUGAAAAUGGGAGUCGCCACCGAUCUUUUAUUGAGAUGUAAUCGGAUCACCUUGAAAAUAAUUUUGGGUCCGUGAAUUUUGAGAAAACAGGUUCGGGAGUCGAUUACGCACGAGGAAGGGUUGGCACCCUCGUAAC